rnacentral:rRNA from 1 species
AACGCGAACGUCCCUCCGGAACAAGUAGAGUGGCGGACGGCUGAGUAACGCGUAGGAAUCUACCUAUUAGUGGGGGAUAACAUGGAGAAAUUCAUGCUAAUACCGCAUAUGCCCUACGGGGUAAAGAGGGCCUCUUCUUGAAAGCUCUUGCUAGUAGAUGAGCCUGCGUCGGAUUACCUUGUGGGGGGGGGAGAGGGGCCUACCAAGGCAACGAUCCCGUAGCUGGUCUGAGAAGGAUGAUCAGCCACACUGGGACUGAAAACACGGCCCCAGACUCCUACGGGAAGGAAGCAGUGGGGAAAUAUUGGGACAAAUGGGGCGCAAAGCCUUGAUCCAAGCAAUACCUUCGGGGGGUGAAAAAAGGGCCUUUAGGGGUUGU